CAGAUAUCUGUUGCCAAUAAAAAUUAAAUGAUCAACUAUUGAUAACAAUUUUACAACCGCUCAGUUAUGCAACUGCUUUCCAUCAAAGAGGUUAGAAAUAAUAUUAUAGAGGGGUCCCCCACAUUUUUCUUAUAAAAGAGUCCUGAUAAGAAUUAUAAUGAAUAAGGACAAUGUAUAAUAUAAAUAAUUAAACAGAGAAAACCAGAAACAUAUUAAUCUCAAACAACUAUAUCAGUCCAAAGGAUUUUAAAAGUGGAAAAAAAUACUUGAAGUGUAAUAGCAAAAGGCAUUCACAAAUUGGUUUGCGAAGAUACCUCAAGAGGCAUGAGUGCUCUAGG
rnacentral:misc_RNA from 1 species